rnacentral:rRNA from 1 species
UGGUGGAGUGAUUUGUCUGGUUAAUUCCGUUAACGAACGAGACCUCAACCUACUAAAUAGUCUGACGUAGUCUUCUGACUAUGGACGGACUUCUUAGAGGGACUGUCGGUUUGUAGCCGAAGGAAGUUUGAGGCAAUAACA